CAAUCACUGGUUCAUCCCGGGAAGUAUCCGGCCGAUACCGGUACACAGAGUCACUGAUGCCAGCGAUUCGACAGGCUCUACGGAUGCUGACGCCGUGAGCAUGCUUGAGGUAAUCCACCAGUUCUCGCCGAACGGCUGGCUUU
rfam:Alcanivorax pacificus W11-5, complete genome.